rnacentral:rRNA from 1 species
GAUGAACGCUGGCGGCGUGCCUAAUACAUGCAAGUCGAGCGAACAGAUAAGGAGCUUGCUCCUUUGACGUUAGCGGCGGACGGGUGAGUAACACGUGGGUAACCUACCUAUAAGACUGGAAUAACUCCGGGAAACCGGGGCUAAUGCCGGAUAACAUUUAGAACCGCAUGGUUCUAAAGUGAAAGAUGGUUUUGCUAUCACUUAUAGAUGGACCCGCGCCGGAUUAGCUAGGUGGUAAGGUAACGGCUUACCAAGGCAACGAUACGUAGCCGACCUGAGAGGGUGAUCGGCCACACUGGAACUGAGACACGGUCCAGACUCCUACGGGAGGCAGCAGUAGGGAAUCUUCCGCAAUGGGCGAAAGCCUGACGGAGCAACGCCGCGUGAGUGAUGAAGGUCUUCGGAUCGUAAAACUCUGUUAUUAGGGAAGAACAAAUGUGUAAGUAACUGUGCACGUCUUGACGGUACCUAAUCAGAAAGCCACGGCUAACUACGUG